CCCUGAGCAACUUUCCGAGACUCUGUCUCAAAAGAAAAAAUAACUUUUCUUUAUCUUAGAGCCAAAAGAACUGAGAUGAAGUAAAACAGGGAAAUUCAGUGGUUCUGAGUUACGUGACAAGCCACAGUCCCCCAGGAGCAUGGGGAACCUGAGAACGGGAACCUCCCCCUCCCCAGGAUGGGGAUAUGGAAUAAGGGAAAAGGAGGUCUAGUGGGUACAGAGAGAGGAGAGAAUGUGGCUCAGUGGCUACGCUUCCCUGGAUUGGAUCCCCAGUACAAAAAAAAAAGAAGAAGAAGACACAUAAACACGGAGAAGCCACGUGAAGAGAGGAUACACUGGCCCCAGAGCCUCCGAGGGAGCAUGACCCUGCCUACAGAACGAGGGAAGAAAAUCUGCUCUCUUCAGCCACCAGGUGCAAGAUCUAAUCCAGAAUCCAGCAUUCGAUGAUCACUUCCCCCGGGGCUUCUUCAUUCUGAAACGAUUCCUUGGUCUUUCCUGGCCUCUCGGCCUCUGGUUUGGAAGACUGUGGGGCAGUGGUCUCCGGGGAGCCCUCGUCUUGGGGCAGCCAUCAUGUAGUAGGUCCCUCACUUCAGUUUGCUGGAUGUUUCCUCAAGAUUAGAUCCAAGUUGUGCAUGUUGGCAGAAGCACCUCACAGGAACAGCUGCACCUUAUCAAUGCAUUACACUGGGAGACGGGCGAUGGGCUUAUCCCACUGACUCUUAGGUUGACUCUUCCCUCAGUGGAGACGGUAUCCACUGCGCAUGUCCAUGUUAAAUCCCUGUCCUUCGGUUGGCUUAGAACUGAAGACGACGCUUCCCACCGUGUGCAGAACCACGCACUACGCACACCUGCUACAAGGAGAGGGUGAAGACAGGCAAAGGAUGACACUCCUUCUAUCUAAAGGAGAUUCUUUCCCACAAGGGAAGCGCUCAAGAAACCUGGCAGGCCCUGAGUCCACUAGAGAAAAGGGGGCAACAGGUAGCACCGACAGUGUCAAGUCCAAGUCCAGCCCUGCUCAGGUGGUCCUUCGGCUUCUGCUGUUCUGCAGCCCUCAGAGUCCCAGAGGCAGGGGUCUGUGUCAUCAGGACCCCCAGGGAGGAGGAGGGUCACACCAGGUUGGCUGAUCUUCUGGAGACCACUGUCAUUUCCUCAGCCCACUGUGACCAUUUUAAGAGAAUAACCAGGGCACUUGCAGACUGGGUCCUGCUGUCUUGGAGGGAGUUGGACAUCUUGGCAGGGCCUGAGUCCCACAGGGGUCUUGAGCUUCUGCACUCCUCGGGUCCCCAGACUGGUCUCAGCUGAGGGUUCUUAUUCUCUCUUGGGAGGGAGAGACUCUGCAGUGGGUAGCCCAGGGUGGAGUCCCAGGGGUGCACCAGGAGGCUCUGAGCCUGAGUCUGCAGAGACACCAGGGCAGGGAGGUGUGGCUGAAGACAGUGGAGGUAGCAAGCUGAGCCCAAAGAAGGACACCCGUCCCUAAAGGCCACCCCUGAAGAUGACUGGACAGAUAGCACUGUCUUCAGGGCCUCUUAGAGUCAGGUGCUGAGGCUGACAGGGCCACCCAGGGAGGAGCUUGGGUCAGCAGGUCACCCCAGAGCAGAGACCCUCUGGAUGGGUCAAGUUCUCCACCCUCAGCUCCAGUAGAGAGACCUUGGGAAAAGAGUGAGACAUCACGUUUAUCACCAGCCAGAACCUGGACAAUCUUACCAGCCUAAACUCCGCAUUUUCUCUUCAUCAUUUUAAGGUUUCCGAUGACUCCUUUUUAAAACCUUUGCCUAAAAUUGAUUAUCCUUAUAAGGAAAAGAGUAUCAAGUGCCCAUUAAGUGAUCACAGAUAAUAAAAUUUGGGAAGACUUGCAAGACCAUGGGACCUGGCCAAGCCUCCAGGCAGAGAGAGUCAGGGAACACACUUCUCCUUGAAGCAGCUCCCCCCAUCCAUGGUGCACCUUUGCCUUCGGACCCCUCGGGAAGCUGGUUUCUCUGAUCCCCUUAAGGAGACACGGGGACAAUCAUGAGAUUCACCUUGCAACACAGUGGUCAGGAGGCUCCGGGACCUGCUUUUUUUAGAUUUGUAUUCCAACUCUGACUUUGUACCUACUCUGCAAGACUGCAGUUCUCCUUUUUUAAAAAA